AAGCUCAUGUGGAUAGUGCAUC
rnacentral:piRNA from 1 species